rnacentral:rRNA from 1 species
AACGUAGGAGACAAACGUUAUCCGGAGUUACUGGGCGUAAAGGGCGUGUAGGUGGUUUCGUAAGUCUGGCGUGAAAUAUCUCGGCUUAACCGAGGCAGGUCGUCGGAUACUGCGGGACUAGAGGACGGUAGAGGCGUGUGGAAUUCCGGGUGUAGUGGUGAAAUGCGUAGAGAUCCGGAGGAACACCAGUGGCGAAGGCGGCCUGCUGGGCUGUUGCUGACGCUGAGGCGCGACAGCGUGGGGAGCAAACAGG